GAUGAACGCUGGCGGCGUGCCUAAUACAUGCAAGUCGAGCGAACAGACGUGUAUCUUGCUCCUCUGACGUUAGCGGCUGAUGGGUGAGUAACACGUGGAUAACCUACCGUGAAUACUGGGGUGACUGCGGGAAACCGGAGCUAAUACCGGAUAAUAUGUGGUACCGCAUGGUUCAAUAGUGAAAGAGUGUGUUUGUUUGCAUUAUAGUGUGGUUCGCGCCGCAUUAGCUAGUUGGUAAGGUAACGGCUUACCAAGGCGACGAUGCGUAGCCGACCUGAGAGGGUGAUCGGCCACACUGGAACUGAGACACGGUCCAGACUCCUACGGGAGCACGCAGUAGGCACACUUCCGCAAUGGGCGAAAGCCUGACGGAGCAACGCCGCGUGAGAGAUGAAGGAAUUCGGAUCGUAAAACUCUGUUAUUAGGGAAGACAAAAAAUGUAAGUAACUAUGCACGUCUUGACGGUACCUAAUCAGAAAGCCACGGCUAACUACGUG
rnacentral:rRNA from 1 species